ACUUGUUGUAGCUCAAUUGGUUAGAGCGCUACACCGGAAUCGCAGGGCCGUAGGUUCAAUUCCUACCAGAGGA
rnacentral:tRNA from 1 species